AGAGUUUGAUUGUGGCUCAGAUUGAAUGCUGGCGGCAGGCGUAACACAUGCUAGUCGAGCGCCAGCGACNACAGUGAACCGUCGCGGGAUUUGUUGAGCCGCGAGCGUCGGACGCGUGAGUGAUGCGUGGAAGAUAGCGCUGAUGUGCGGGAUAUCCAUUGGAUAUGAUGGCUAAUACCGCAUGAUACCUUCGCCUCACAGAGGCGGACCUUCGCGACUCUCGCGUCAGGAUAUGCCCAGCUAGGAUUAGCUAGAUGCUGAGGUAAGCGCUCACCUACGCGACGAUGCGUAGCUGGUCUGAGAGCAUGAUCAUCCACACUGGUACUGUGACACGCUCCAGAGUCGUACGCGACGCAGCAGUGUCGAAUAUUGCACAAUGCGCGAGGAUUCUAGCCUGAUGCAGUCAUGCGUCGUGUAUGUACUAGCCGUUCGCCUUGUAUAGUACUAUCAGCAGUGAGGAUGGCGAUAUCGUUAUUAGCGUAUACUAUGACGUUAGCUGCAGACGAUGCACCGGCUAACUCAGUGCCAGCAGUGGAGCCCGCGGUAUUACGGAGCGUGCGAGCGUUAGUCGGAAUUACUGGCCGUAUAGCGCAUGCAGGUGGUUAGUUAAGUCAGAUGUGAUAGCCGGGGCCUCAUCCUCGGAAUUGCAUUAGAAUCUGGCAGGCUAGAGUACUGUAGAGGCGGGUAGAAUUACAGGUGUAGCGGUGUAAUGCGUAGAGAUCUGAACCGGUGGCGAAGGCGGCCCCGUGGACAGAUACUGACACUCUGAUGCGAUAGCGUGGGCAGCAAUCAGGAUUAGAUACCGUGGUAGUCCACGCCGUUAACGAUGUCUACUUGGAGCUUGUGGCCUUGAGCGGUGGCUUACGGAGCUAACGCGUUAAGUAGACCGCCUCGGGAGUACGCUCGCAAGAUUCAAACUCGAAUGAAUUGACCGGGGCCCGCACAAGCGGAUGUGGUUUAAUUCGAUGCAACGCGAAGAA
rnacentral:rRNA from 1 species